rnacentral:lncRNA from 1 species
GUUUCAUAGAAGAGGUCAUAAUGAGAGGAGGUGACCUGCUCAGAGUCACAUGGAUAAUGGAGACGUGGUAUGAGCUACUCCUGAAAACAAUGAUGGAAUGAAUGCAUUUUAAGUCCUUUGAGAAACACUGGUUCUGAGAGUUGUAAUCAGAAGUCGAAAAUUGGAAGUCACUGGACAGAUCAGAGAAAACAAGAAGAGCGAGGUCAGCAGUCUGAAGCUACGUCACAGUCAUUCAAUCUGUGCUCCCUGUGUACCUUCAUACCGUCCACAAGGCUCCUCACCAUCUCCGUCUGGGCUGCUAUCUCUUCCAUCAACAGGUAUGUCAUCCUGGUGCAACCAUGAUGAGAUCAGGAAAAGGAGGAAUAUAGCCAGAAGCAGAGAAAUGCUGCCGCUGAGCGGGUCUACUCUCAUUGCUGCCAAGACAGAAAAUUCUGCCCAGAUUUGGGCUACUGUAUGUCCACUUGGGGAACCAGGGAGACUCACCCCAUAUUGAGCGGAGAGCGAUGGACAAUGGUUUACCACUAGUCAAGUGAAGCUGGUAAAGACCAACACCAUGGCUAUUGAGAGGACCACGGGAUACGAUGCUUGUAAUUCAUGAAACACAGUAUGGCAGGUACUCUGAAUAUAAAUCACUAUUAUCAAUAUUGUCUCACCAUCAUCACCUUUAGAACGAUAACCGUUAUUCUUUAAUUAGUGUAUUCAAUAAACACUCAUUUACUCUUCUCA